GACGAACGCGGGCGGCGUGCUUAAUACAUGCAAGUAGAACGCUGAAGGGAGGAGCUUGCUCUUCUGGGAUGAGUUGCGAACGGGUGAGUAACGCGUAGGUAACCUGCCUUGUAGCGGGGGAUAACUAUUGGAAACGAUAGCUAAUACCGCAUAACAAUGGAUGACCCAUGUCAUUUAUUUGAAAGGGGCAAAUGCUCCACUACAAGAUGGACCUGCGUUGUAUUAGCUAGUAGGUGAGGUAACGGCUCACCUAGGCGACGAUACAUAGCCGACCUGAGAGGGUGAUCGGCCACACUGGGACUGAGACACGGCCCAGACUCCUACGGGAGGCAGCAGUAGGGAAUCUUCGGCAAUGGGGGCAACCCUGACCGAGCAACGCCGCGUGAGUGAAGAAGGUUUUCGGAUCGUAAAGCUCUGUUGUAAGUCAAGAACGAGUGUGAGAGUGGAAAGUUCACACUGUGACG
rnacentral:rRNA from 1 species